rnacentral:rRNA from 1 species
CCGUCUCAGUUCGGAUUGCAGGCUGAAACCCGCCUGCAUGAAGUUGGAAUUGCUAGUAAUCGUGGAUCAGCAUGCCACGGUGAAUACGUUCCCGGGCCUUGUACACACCGCCCGUCACACCACGAGAGUCGGGAACACCCGAAGUCCGUAGUCUAACCGUAAGGAGGGCGCGGCCGAAGGUGGGUCUGGUAAUUGGGGUGAAGUCGUAACAAGGUACC